CAGUCGCCGCGGUAAUGCGUAGGUGGCAAGCGUUGUCCGGAAUUAUUGGGCGUAAAGGGCUCGCAGGCGGUUUCUUAAGUCUGAUGUGAAAGCCCCCGGCUCAACCGGGGAGGGUCAUUGGAAACUGGGAAACUUGAGUGCAGAAGAGGAGAGUGGAAUUCCACGUGUAGCGGUGAAAUGCGUUGAGAUGUGGAGGAACACCAGUGGCGAAGGCGACUCUCUGGUCUGUAACUGACGCUGAGGAGCGAAAGCGUGGGGAGCGAACAGGAUUAGAUACCCGGGUAGUCCCUGUCUCUUAUAA
rnacentral:rRNA from 1 species